rnacentral:ncRNA from 2 species
ACUAUAUCAAGAGCGUGACGAGGGACUGGCCCGAUGACUCACCGGCAACCUCGAAAUGCGAGGUGCCUCAUCCAGGCCCACUGCGGCGAAGAUAUAGG